UACAGAGGGGGCAAGCGUUGUUCGGAAUUACUGGGCGUAAAGGGCGCGUAGGCGGCCUUCUAAGUCGAACGUGAAAUCCCCGGGCUCAACCCGGGAACUGCGUCCGAUACUGGAAGGCUUGAAUCCGGGAGAGGGAUGCGGAGUUCCAGGUGUAGCGGUGAAAUGCGUAGAUAUCGGAAGGAACAUCAGUGGCGAAAGCGACUUCCUGGACCAGUACCGACGUUCAGGCACGAAAGCGUGGGGAGCAAACAGG
rnacentral:rRNA from 1 species